AGCCAAUGUCUCGUAUGCUGGAAGUGAGCCGGGAAGUUCAAGUGUUGCUGGAAGCUCAGGCCAAGCUGGAGAGGGCGGGACACGUGAGCCUGGAGAUAGCAAGGCCCUGGUGACUUACACACCUCAGCCAAGCCUUCAGAACAACCGUGAGAACGAGUACCUAAGGAGAUCAGACAUUGACUCCCUCAUCAAAAUGCUAAAAGAGAAUGGUAACACACUUGGUACUCUUGGUUACUCCUUUGGUGCAUCAUAUGAAUCGUGUAGUAUUGCUAGAGAACCUGAUCAUUCAAGCAUUGCUUAUAAAC